rnacentral:rRNA from 1 species
GAUGAACGCUGACAGAAUGCUUAACACAUGCAAGUCAACUUGAAUUUGGGUUUUUAACUUCGGUUUGGGUGGCGGACGGGUGAGUAACGCGUAAAGAACUUGCCUCACAGCUAGGGACAACAUUUGGAAACGAAUGCUAAUACCUAAUAUUAUGAUCAUCGGGCAUCCUAUAAUUAUGAAAGCUAUAAGCGCUGUGAGAGAGCUUUGCGUCCCAUUAGCUAGUUGGAGAGGUAACGGCUCACCAAGGCGAUGAUGGGUAGCCGGCCUGAGAGGGUGAUCGGCCACAAGGGGACUGAGACACGGCCCGUACUCCUACGGGAGGCAGCAGUGGGGAAUAUUGGACAAUGGACCGAGAGUCUGAUCCAGCAAUUCUGUGUGCACGAUGAAGUUUUUCGGAAUGUAAAGUGCUUUCAGUUGGGAAGAAACAAAUGACGGUACCAACAGAAGAAGUGACGGCUAAAUACGUG